AAGCUGGCAAGCGGAAGGAGGCAAUCGCCUGGUGCUGGGAUGCUGUGGAGCAAGGAGAAGGCAAGUACAAAGUUUACUUGCUGGUGGGAUUGCUACCUGAAGGCGACGGAUAUUCAGCUCUGAAGCUGAUUGAUAUCUGGCAAUGGACCUGGCGAGGCUGCAGCUGGUGGGUGGUUGUCGGAAGAGUUUGCAUUCAGGCUAGUGGAUGCCGUGAGGCUACGCUGGCUGAGAUGGAUGCAAACUGGUUUGGAAGCCUUGUUUGUGAACAGGCAGCCAAACAGAGGAGGAGUCUGGGGGAACGCUGUUGGAUAGGGGCCAUCCCACUCACCUGUUUGCCUUUGCCUUACAGGGAUGUCCGGAGCCAGUGAGGUUUUCCCCAAGUCCAGCCUUCAAAGUCAUGAAGAGAACCGCAGGACGUCCCUAUUUACAUUGGAGAAAUGAAUGUGAAAUACUGGCAGCAAACAAUGGACAAGGCGGUGGCCGUACCUGAGAGAAGGAGCUUUGAAGGAAGACUGCAGGUGGACAUCUGCUGCAUUGCAAGUGAUGGGGCAGUGGGGAGAGAGAAGAAAACGAGGGAGGAAACAUUAGGCCACAUUAGGCGCACCGUCCACUGGAAGUGCUAUGAAGACGCUUUGAACAGGAAUGGCUUCCCCUCAGGGAUUCUGGGAACUGUAGGUGGUUAAGGGGACAGAGAGUUGUUAGGCGGGUUAGGCUUAGGGUUAGGCUUAGGGUAGGAGUAGGGGUAGGGGUAGGGUUGAGUUGGGGUAGUGUUAGGGUUAGGGUUCCCUUCUUGCCCGGGAACUCUGGGAAUUGUAGCUCUAGUUAAAGGUUAAGGGUUAGCACCAGGGAACUCUGGGAAUUGUAGCUCUGGGAGGGGAACAGGGGGUCUCCUAACAACUCUCUGCACCCUUUUCAAACUACAGCUCCCAGAUUCUUUGGGGGAAGAAGCCAUGAGUGUUUAAAUCGGCUUCAUAGCACAUGAAAUGGUGUAGAUGUGGCCCUGGCCUCCCUCACCCCACUGCCCCUUACUCUUGAGGAAUUGAAAAAAUUUCCCCAUGCAAAUCUCUCGGAAACAACGUAUUUCAUCU